rnacentral:lncRNA from 1 species
GAAACGUAUGUCAGAAAGAUGGCACUCGCCCAACCCCACAUUUGUGUGGGGGAAUCUCAGAUGUGAAAUGGCUCUUUGGAAAAAGUCCACAGUGACCAGUGAGCCCAGGCAGAGUAUGCUGGACAUGUUCUGUGGCGUCUACCCUCCAGGUCACUCUCUUCCUUGCUGCCCAUCUUGUCUUGAAAAGGACUUGAAGCAUUGAAGCGUGACAGAAGGUCUCCAGCACAGAUCCUGCUGCUCUCCCACCCUCAGGACAAGCUACCUCCAGAGAACCCUCUGAUCUGCACUCUCCCUGGGCCAACGUGGAGGCGAUAAAUCUUCUGUAUCGAUCAAGAAGAAGGCUUCAGCAACAAAGACCAAUUCACCGUCUGAAUAAAUUACAAAUUGUCUCAUGGCA